rnacentral:lncRNA from 1 species
CGAUCACGAAUCAAAAAAAUUAUAAAUCAAGAUUUAUUUAGUAGUCACAAAUCACAAAUAUUAUAAGUCACAACUUAUAGUACAAUCACAUAUUAUCAAUCAUAGAUUAACAAUUUUUUAGGUCACACAUUAUUUUUUUUUGUCACAAUUUACCUUUUUUAUUGAUCAUGUAUCGUUUAUUAGUUAUAGUCAAUCAAAUAAUUUGCGAACACCACAAUUACCAUCUUCUGAGCUACCACAUCCACAAAUGCAUCAUCACACCAUCUCACCACCAUUGAAAAUCGCCACAAAAACUGCCAUCAACACAUCACUAUUGCCACUUGUCAUCGCCGCCGCCGCCGCCGCCGCCGCCGCCACAAUUUUCCUUUAUCUUUUACCAAAAAUUCCAUCAUUUUCACCACCCCUUGCUGUCAACACUACCACCAGUGUAGACACCAACAGUAGAACAAUCACUACAAAAAUAAAAUCCUUAUAAAGCAUUUACCAUAUGUGGAAAAAAAAUUAAAAGAAAUCAAGACCAAGAUAUGUGAUAACGGCAGUGGAUCCAGAUCCACAUCUCGAUAGUGUGAAAAUAGAGAUGAUAGUUUGUGGACAAUGAUUGUUGGUGAUUUCGAGAUGGUGGACGAUUAUGGUUAGUGAUAGCGGGAUGGUAAGUCGGUGGAGAUCUAAGCACCGGCGAUGAAGGUAAGUUGUCGGAGAGCUACAAAAUUCCGGUGGAGGUCAGCCGUCGGAAUGAAGAGAGAAGGAAGAGGUAGAGAAAAGGAAUGGGAAAGUGAUUAGGGUUAAUGGUGGAGGGUGG